GGGUCAGUAGGUCGGUCGUGCCACCGGUACGUACUGGUCUCACUGACUCCUCCUUCCUGAAGAACCGUAAUGCCAUUAAUUUGGUGUUGCGGGGAAACAGGACUGUUACUUUGAAAAAAUUAGAGUGUUUAAAGCAAGCUAACGCUUGAAUACAUUAGCAUGGAAUAAUGAAAUAGGACGAUCGAUCCUAUUUUGUUGGUUUCUAGGAUUGACGUA
rnacentral:rRNA from 1 species